CCUACGGGAGGCAGCAGUGGGGAAUCUUGCGCAAUGGCCUAACGGCUGACGCAGCGACGCCGCGUGUAGGAUGAAGCUCUUCGGAGUGUAAACUACUGUUGCCCGGGACGAACAGCUCGAUUCAUCGAGCCUGACGGUACCGGGUGAGGAAGCACCGGCUAACUCCGUGCCAGCAGCCGCGGUAAUACGGGGGGUGCGAGCGUUGUCCGGAAUCACUGGGCGUAAAGGGCGCGUAGGUGGUCUGAUAAGGGUGUGGUGAAAGUCCGGGGCUCAACCCCGGAUCUGCCGUGCCGACUGUCAGACUCGAGGACUGUAGAGGCAGACGGAAUUCCGGGUGUAGCGGUGGAAUGCGUAGAGAUCCGGAGGAAGACCGGUGGCGAAGGCGGUCUGCUGGGCAGUUUCUGACACUGAGGCGCGACAGCGUGGGGAGCAAACAGGAUUAGAUACCCUGGUAGUCCACGCCGUAAACGAUGGGUACUAGGUGCCUGGGGGAGCGACCCUCUGGGUGCCGGCGCUAACGCAGGAAGUACCCCGCCUGGGGAGUACGACCGCAAGGUUGAAACUCAAAGGAAUUGACGG
rnacentral:rRNA from 1 species